AGCUCGUAUAAACUGAAUGGUUUAAAAAAAUAAAAAUACAUUUGUUCUUAUCAGUUUAAUAUCUGAUACGUCCCCUAUCUGGGGACCAUAUAUUAAAUGGAUUUUUCGAACAGGGAGAUGGAAAAAGAGCUUGCUCUGUCCACUCCACGCAUUGACCUGGUAUUGCAGUACCUCCAGGACCGGUGCACCCCUU